rnacentral:rRNA from 1 species
UACGUAGGGGGCAAGCGUUGUCCGGAUUUAUUGGGCGUAAAGAGCGUGUAGGCGGCUAUACAGGUCCGCUGUGAAAACUCGAGGCUCAACCUCGAGACGUCGGUGGAAACCGUAUGGCUAGAGUCCGGAAGAGGAGAGUGGAAUUCCUGGUGUAGCAGUGAAAUGCGUCGAUAUCAGGAGGAACACCGAUGGCGAAGGCAGGCUCUGGGACGUUGACUGGACGCUGAGACGCGAAAGCGUGGGGAGCAAA